rnacentral:lncRNA from 1 species
CGGUUUAACGUCUCUGCUGAGAUUUUGUAUCUUUUUAUUCAUUGCAUACAUAUUUUCCCUUUUGUCCUAGAUAAUAUUACAAUGGCUGGUUUGAAAUCCUUGUUUGCUAAUUCCGUCAUUGUAGGGUUCAUCUCAAUGGAUUGUGAUUUUUUUUUUUUUUUUGAUACCAGGGCUUGAACUAGGGGGCACUCAGCCACUGAGCCAUAUCCCCAGCCCUAUUUUGUAUUUUAUUUAUAAAGAGGGUCUCACUGAGUUGCUUAGUGCCUUGCCAAAUUGCUGGGGCUGGCUUUGAACUGGCCUCCUGCCUCAGCUUCCUGAGCCACAGGGAUUACAGGAGUGUGCCACCAUGUCUAGCUGGAUUGUGAUUUCUUAGGAUUGUGUUUUCCUAAACUUUUUUUUUGUAUGCCAAAAGAGUUUUAAACUAUAUUCUCAUCAUCAUGAUGAUGCACUGUAGAGACUGUGGUUUGUAAUAUGUUUAUCUGAAGAAUAUUAUAUUUAUAAACUCUCUUUCACUGGACACAAGCUCAAGUCUAACUUGGAUUUUUUUCAUUUUAGUUCUGAGUGCUUAUUAUAGUCUGCCCUAUACAAGUAUAGCUAAAAGGCUAGUUGGAGAUUUGAGAAUUUCCUGUACUCCUUCCUUACCUUCCAGUUUUGCAGUUGUUCCAAGGUUUGUGCUCUAAUUUUAUAAACCAUAAGUCAAUUAGCUCCUUUCUGAAUUUUAGCCACUUCAUGGGUAUAUCCACAUGGCAGCCUUCACUCAGGUAAACCAGAUGUUUAUAAAAAUAGGAAACACAAAUCACGCCAUUGCCUCCAUGCAAGUGUUGAAUCCUCUCCAGGAUCCUCCUGCUUCUGUCUGCUCCUCAGUGCCUUUCCUAGAUUUGCUCAGAUUUCACAGUUUAACCCACAGAAGGUCUUGUCUGAUAGGAGUUUAUUUGAACAUGACAGGAAAUAAAAUGUCCACAGCAAUAUAUAUCCUCUAUUUUUCAGACCAAGUUAGAUAAGGCAUAAAAGUAGAGUCAUAAUAGUAUUUGUAAGGUGAAAAUCUAGUCACACCCUUACCUAUUCAGUGGGAAUUUUAGUCGUCCUCAGUUAUCUCCUAAAGUGUCCCAACUGGAUGUUUUAUUUAUUAUCUAAUAAUAAUGUCUACCCUUCUCUUUGCUUCUUAUCAAGCAUGCUAUAUCUCUAUUAUGGUUUAGAUAUGAGGUGUCCCCCAAAAGCUCAUGUGUGAGGCAAUGCAAGAAAGUUUAGAGGUGAAGUGAGUAGGUUAUACGAGUUUUAACUUAAUGACUGCAUUAAUCACCUGAUAGGGAUUAAGUGGGUGGUAACUGUAGGCCGGUAGGGUGUGCCUGGAAGAGGAGGGCCACUGGACCAUGCCAGUGGGGUAUAUAUUUUGUCUUUGGUGAGAGAAUUCUCUUUAUGCUUACUGGUGUCACAUCCUGAGCUACUUUUCUCUCUCUACACUCUUCCACCAUGAUGUAAUCCCUCACCUCUGGCCUCCAGCAAUGGAGCUGGCUAUCUAUGGACUGAGACCUCUAAAACUUUGAGUCCCCCAAAUAAAUUUUCCCUCAACUGUUCUUGAUAGGUCUUUUGGUCACAGUGGUGAAAAAUCUGACUAAAACAAUCUCUUAUCUUCUGUGAGAGUUUCAGGCCAGCUACAGAGUUACAGGGAACAGUUGUUGCAAAAGACCACCUUUUCCUCUCAUACCAACUGCAGGUUCAGGAAAUACUCCCAUAACCAUCCCCAAGUUUGACAUUUCACUCAGAGACUUAUAGAAUUCACCAAGAGCUGUGACAUCAUGGUUAUAAUUCAUUAUAAGUAACAGAUACAGUCAAAGUAAGGAACAUGUAGCACAGAGUCCAGAAGAAGUACAAAGUGUGGAAUCUCUAUUGUCUCCCUUCUCUGACGUCAGGAUGUAUCAUUCUCCUGCGCUGGAGAGUGACAAUGUACAUAAAGUUUUGCCAUCGGGGAAGCUCAUCUGAAGGUUGUGUUCAGAGUUUUUGUUGGGGGCUCCAUUACAUAGGCAUGAUUGAUUUUCCAUGUACUUAACCUCAAUCUCCAGUUGCCAUCCCUUCUAGGCAUGACCUAAAGUCCCCACUUUAUGUUGCAUUAUUGGUCUUGCUUGUGUCUUUAGCCAUACCCUAAAUACAAUCUGGUGUGGCCUUCAAAUCAUGUUGUUAGAUUAUCUGGAAUUAUCUAGGCCCUGGUAAACAAAGCAACUCUUACCAGGAAUGAGUACCUCACAGAAUCUUCCAGAUGAGCUUUUCUCCCAAAGAUUAGCGCCUCUCUUUGGGGAAGGACAAAUUCUUUCUUCUACCUACUCGUUAUUAAUGUCAGUUAAAUAUGUUAAAAAUGAAAUUUAACCCCUGUCUCCCCACACAAAACAGCUCAAAACGGAUUAAGGACCUAGGUAUUAGACCAGAAACUCUGCACAUACUGGAAGAAAAGGUAGAUCCAACAGUCCAACAUAUUGGCUCAGGAACCGAUUUCCUUAAGAAGACCCCUAAAACACAAGAAGUAAAAUCAAUAAUCAUAAAUGGGAUGGUAUCAAGUUAAAAAGCUUCUUCCUAGCAAAGGAAACAAUCAAGAGUGUGAAGAGAGAGCCUCCAAAAUGGGAGAAAAUUUUUGCCACCUGCACCUCAGAUGGAGCAUUAAUUUUCAGGAUAUAUAAAGAACUCAAAAAACUUAACUCCAAAAAAAAAAGAAAGAAAGAAAAACCCAAAUAACCCAAUCAAUAAAUGAGCAAAGAAAAUGAACAGACAUUUUACAUGAGAAGAAACACAAAUGGUCAACAAACAUGAAAAAAAUCUUCAACAUCUCUAGCAAUUAGUGAAAUGUCAAUCAAAAUUACACUGAGAUUCCAUCUCACUCUAGUCAGAAUGGCAAUUAUUAAGAAUACAAGUAAAAAUAAAUGUUAGCAAAAAUGUGGGUUAAAAGGUACACUCAUACAUUGCUGGUGGGACUGCAAAUUGGUGCAACCACUAUGGAAAGAAGUAUGGAGAUUCCUCAGGAAACUUGUAAUGAAACCACCAUUUGACCCAGCUAUACCACUUCUCUGUCUAUACCCAAAGGAUUUAAAGUCAGCAUAUAACAGUGACUCAGCCACAUCAAUGUUUAUAGCAGCUCAAUUCACAAUAGCCAAGCUAUGGAACCAACCUAGGUACCCUUUAAUAGAUGAAUAGAUAAAGAAAAUGUGGUAUAUAUACAAUGAAAUAUUACUCAAUCAUAAAGAAGAAUGAUUUUAUGACUUUCACCUGCAAAUGGAUGGAUCUGAAGACUAUCGUGCUAAGUGAAGUGAGCCAGUCCCUGAAAACCAAAAACCAAAUGUUUUCUCUGAUAUGUGGAAGCUAACCCACCAUAAGGGUGGAACAGUGAGGUGAAGAAUAGAAGUGCAGUAGAUUAGACAAUGGGAAUGGAAGGAAUGGAAGGGGGUUAGGCAAAGGAAGGACAGCCGAAUGAAUCUGACAUAAUUUUCCCAUGUACAUAUAUGAAAAACACACAGUGAAUCCCACCACCAUGUAUAUUCAUAAGUACGGGAUUCUAACAAGAAUAGGAUAUAUCCCGUGCUUGUAUAUCAAAAUGGAUUCUUGUGUCAUGUAUAACUAAUAAGAACCAACUAAAUGAAAAAGAAGGAUGUUGUUCCCUCACUGGUCUCUUGAAUCCAGGGCCUUGUGCAUGCUGUGUAAUCCUUUUUGAUUAUUAACUUCUUAUAUGAAUUCAUGGUGGCAAGGUAGAGUGCAGUUUCUUCAGCAGAAACACGUGCCUUUGAAACUGACCUUAUCUCCUUGAAUGCAGCUUUUAUGGUUCUACAAUUUCUUCUCUUUGUGUAUUAAGACGCUUCCUAGUCCCUCAGGCUCAGGGGCUGAGUUCUUUCAGGUACCCUUUUCUGUCUACUUAGGCUUAAAUCCUAGAGUGGGCAUAUUUUUCCUGAACCUAUUACAUAAGAAUUUUGUACUUCAAAAAGCGAUUCCAUUUGGGCCUUUGUGGAGAAACACGUUUCCCUUACAGAUAACCUAGCCCCUCUAGUUCAAAGGUUUUAGAGGAGGAUUUCAAAAUAUAGUGCUGUGCAUUGUUGUUCAAAUUAUAAUAAUAUGAACAGCAAAUAGAAAUCAUAUUUAUUUAUUUAUAGGCAAAUAAAUAAUAUAAGAGUAUUUGUUUGAUACUGUUAUUUAGUUACCUUGCAAGUCUGUUGUUUUCCAAAAUGCAGCAGAUACAUGCUUCUUCAUUUCAUUCCAAAUGAAUAAUAAGAAGUACUUUUCUGAGCAAAACCCUAUGUCCUUCCCAAUAGUAAAAAAAAACUUUUAGAAGAAUGGGUGAUCUUGUAAUUAUAGAAGUGAGAGAACAUUCACCAUCCAGGCAUGGCACACGAGGCACCCAGGGAUACUUUAGUGCCAGCCAUGCACUUGCAUGGGCCUGAGAGUUAGUGUUCCCUUGAAUCCUUGCUCUUUUUGGUUGACCUGCCUGAUCCUAUUGCUGACCAUGGGUAUGUCCUGGUUCAAUCACUUAUGAAGUGUAUGGUCUUGAAAACGUGUUACCCUCUCUAAACCUUAGUUUCCUUAUGAAGAGAUAAUGGUGACUUAAUUUUAAUAUAAUGAUAAUGUGCAGGGUGAGAGGAAUGUAUUAAUAUGGAACCUAUUAACAGGUUUUAAAAGGUUUGAACACCUAAAAUAACAAAGAUCAAAAUUACCUGAAAUUUUUAAUUUAAUUCUUCAUUUUUUCUAAGAAGGAAACUGAUGCAGAAUCGGAAAGUUCUAGGCUAUUCGUGUACUUUGGGCAGAAGUGAGCAUAGAGGUAAGUUUCCAGGAUUCUGCUCAACAUUCUUCCACUAUCUGCACUCACUACCCAGCACAGAGAUCUAGGCCAGGGAUUCUGGGAGCUCAUAAGAAACAAAUGGGUUCCGGAUGAUUUGUGAAGGAAGAGUUCACUGCAGAUCAGUAAAGGAAUGGCAAGUCAUAAGAGGUAGGUAUCUACAGUUUCCACCGUUGAUAACUGAGAAAAUGGUGUCAUCAACUGUAGUAAGCUGUGCAAAUUUGUAGGAGAGAUGGUAAAUUAACAAAAGAUCAAAGUAGAAAAGACCCAUUUAAUUAAGCUUUGUGAAGGAUUUAGAUAAUCUAGGAGAAAUAAUUUUUGUGAAAGAAUCCAGCCAGAGUUUUGUAAUAGGAUAUAUAGGCAGGCUGGAAAAAGACAUUUAUGAUGGUCUUAAAAAACAUAGAAUAAUUUUCCAAGAUGACUUAAGUGUAGCAUUUCUUGUAAGUGAGAAGUUGUCUUCAGUGUUUUCUCAAAGUCCAUGGGAGGCCUGUGCUUCUUUGAAGUUCUUAGAUUGAGUGCUCUUGGCUUACAAAACGAAUGCUGGAUACGGGACAUAAAAAUAUGAAGGAUUUACAGUGACCUUUUAAAUGUUGAGGGGAAUUAACUAUGCUGUAGCAGAGGGGUCACCAUGGUGUAACCUUCCCAGGUCCUGCAGUUUGUAUUACUUUCAAAGACAAGAAUCUGAAAUUUCACCCGUGCACUGACUACACAUAGUCAGCAUGUCUGCCAAGGCAGCUACAGAGAAAAAUGGCUUAUUGAGAGGCAGCAUUUACACCAGAAAAAUAUGGCUUCAAAUACUUGACAAAAAGUUGUGCAAUUUAUUUUUAUCAUAGCCAUACUUCUACUGGUGUGAAAAGAAAUGCAUUAGUUAUUUGUUCAGCAUGUAUUUCAGCUGAAUUCUAGAGCAGAAAUGGAGGACACAGAGAUAGUCUAAAUUAUGAUGGACUGUCCUGUGGCAUAACAAUGAAAUUGCAUUUUAUUUGUAAGACUGUGGGAGAGAAAAUAAAAGAUCAAGAGAAGUUUCAAGAGCAAAGAUGAAAUGGUGGAGGUAUGUUAAUUUCAUAUGGCUUUCUUAUUAUAUCUGGAUAGUGUUUUACAACAUAAUAUUCUAUGGCAAGUGUGAUGUUCGGUUUGAAAAAAGCUGUAUUAAACCUCCUGUGUCCUAUCAGGCACGCUACAAAUUUUGGUUUAUUGCAUGCUCCCUGUGGAUAUUAAUGUUUAUGAUUUCUGACCCUGAAAUAGUUCUUGGGGGUACCUUAUGGAAAUACUGAAUUUUCACACUAUGUAAAUAUCACCAGGUCUUACCAACCAAAAAAAUGCAAAUAAAGUCUCAAUGACAUUAAUGCUAAAUAAUUAUUGUUUCUCUCUUUUACAUAAAUGACCAUAGGACUUCAGCACCACUUAUUUCUGCAAAUUUCACAUGUAUAAAAGAAAAAAGAAAUGCACUCAUGUUUUUUAUUCUACUGCCAGCAAGUCCUCUGAGGCAGGUAUCAGAGCAGGACCACUGUGGUUGAUGGCCUCUUGGUGAAAGAAGCUUCCCCACCAAUUGAACCACUGGUUCAAUUCCAGUACCACAAAAAACAAAAAAACUGACCUCAAGGAUGGCUAGUAGUAGGCUAGCAGGCUACCCAGAUGUUGCCACUAUAUUUGGGUUCAAAAGUGGAAGCAUUACUUUGUCUUCAUGAGGUUCAAGCAGUUCACCUCAUUUUCACCUUGUGAAAUUGUAGUUUUUCUAAGAACUUGUUGGUUUUUUGAGGAUGGGACACGUCUUCUGAAUAACUGGUAAAAUUGAGGUUUGUUGUAUAUUUUGUGAACUUGUGAUGACAGAUGUGACUUUUUAUAUUCCAACCCAGGUAGGAGAACCUAUCUACAUCUUUCAUUGAUCAAGUGAAAAUAUAUGUAGAAAUAGUGAACUCAAAAAUUAGUUUAUUCACUAUAAAAUUAGUUUAUUAUUUUAAAUAUUUUUUCUGUUUUAUGUCUUUAUUGGUGCAUUGUAAUUAUAUACAACAGUGGGUUUCAUUGUGAUAUAUUUUAUGUACAUACACAUAAAAUAAUUUGAUUAAUUUCAUUUCCCAGUAUUUUCCUUUUUAUUGCACUCCUUCCUUCCCUUCAACCCCCUUCCUUUAUUGUUCUCCUUUCUGUUUCUUCAAAUCUUUUUUUUUUUUCCUUUUCUUCUCUCUAGCUUCUACAGGUAAGAGAAAACAUUCAACAUUCAACUUCAAAACAUUUUCUUUGCCCAUUCACCUGUUGACAGACAACUAGGCUGGUUCCAUAAUUUGCCUAUUGUGAAUGGUGUUGUUAUAAACAUGAAUAUGUGUGUAUUACUGAAAUAUGCUGAUUUUAGCUCUUUUGGAUAAAUACUAAGGAGUGGAAUAGCAAGAUUAUAUGGUGGUUCUAUUCCUAGUCUUUUGAGGAAUCUCCAUACUGAUUUCUUUAGUGGUUGUAUUAAUGUGCAGUCCCACAUUACAUUUUAAGUCAUUUUAGAAACCAGAAUUUGCUCUGCUAAAAUGCAAAGGGGAAAAUAUAACAGAAUGAAAAGAACUUUAGCUUUCUCAUUUUUCUCCAGUUAAAAAUAUUUUUCAGGUAUUCAGAAAAAAAAAUUAGACUAAUUUUAUACUUUCUCAAUAGAAAAUGGUUAUGGAAGAUUCUAAGAAAUUGUAUGUGUAUGUAUUUUUAUAUUGGCUUGGUUUAGAGUUUGGUAAUGGCAAGAAGUCCAUUUAUUUUAUCUAAUAUUUGGUUUUAAUAUUUAAUUUUUCUUCACUCUCUUGCUGAGCAUUACAUAGAGAUGUAGAUUAAAUAGUUGAUUAUUAUGGAAACAUGAAAUGACUUUUUUUUCCUAAUUGAGACUUCUAAUUGAUUUCUAGAAAUCAAAGGUGUUAUCUUCAAGUAUUAAUUUUAAAGGAAAGCAGCUAAGAGGGUUAGUCUCUAAACUCAAGAUUUCUACACAGAUUAUUUAAUCAAAUACAUCCAUGCAUACUUGCAUCAUUCAGAUAAGGUAAGUGAAACCUAAUUCUCUAAUGUAAAUAGACCAAAUUAUCAGAAAUAUGCAGAAUAAUACAAUGGUUAGUUUUGUUGUGGUGUCAUAGGAUCUACAUAGAGAUAGAACAAAGGUUAUGAAAGUGCUUCUCAAAGUUCCUGAACAUACUAAUCAUCUGGGAUUUCAUUAAAAUGCUAAUUCUACUUUACUAUAGCUGGGUGAGGGCCAUAGGGUCUUCCUUUCUAACAAAAGCACUUCAGGGAAUUUGUAUGCUGCCUGCCACGUUGUAUGGUAGAGGAGGAAUUGGAGUGAGUUUCAUGAUUCCAUUUCACUUGGGUUUACUGUCUUCUCUCUAGCAGCUGGACUACGUUUCAAUCUAGGCAACCAAUAGAGGCAGAGAGAACUGUGAUAUUGAAAGGAUAAGCUGAAGAACAUUAUUCAUAAACUUUGUUGUGGAUGAGUCAACUAAAAAGAAGUUAAUGCUCUUUCACAUAUCAGCUUGCCAAGGUGGUUCAUGAGCUACAACAGAAAUAAUAAAAUUACUGGUAACAUAUGGAUUGCAUGAUGUCUUUUGCAGUUUGAUAUGGUUUUGUUGAUAGUUAAAUGCAGGAAAGUUGGAAUUUUUCACCAAACUCCAUAUAUGUCAGCAUUCAUAUAUUUUGGUAAUUUGAAAUCAAGGAAAAUUAUUAUUUAGACUGAAAUAAAAAAUAAGUGGAAUGUAAGUAAAUACCCCAGUACAAUUGUAAUGAUUUCUUACUGGUUUAUUAACUUAAACAUUUACCUGGUAAUCAGGUAACUUCUUAUUCUCUACAAAUAUGUGACUACUCCAUGGCAAAAAUUGUGCUUCAUCCACCUCUGUGUAGUUACAGGACACACUGCAGUUUUGGGUGCACAGUACCCUUCAGGACAUAUUUGUCACAGGCAUCAUUUUCUGCUUUUAACUUUCAUUCCACUGUUUUAUUUAGUAAACAAGAUGCCUCAGUACAAGGCCUGUCCUGCACAGAAAGCCACAGUUCAGGGUUCACAUGUAGUUGGGUUUUCACUUCCUGAUGAUCAUUUGUUUUGAGGUUUCCCUGUUGACUUUUUCAUAGAGCCUUCUCUAGAAUUUGAAAGGCAGCAUGACAUGAACUGACAUAGAAUAUUAUGGAAAACAAAUGGCCACUUUGUUUAGGAUGUCAUUUAAUAGAUACAUUGUUCAAGUUUGGGGAUGAGUUUCUUAUAAGUUUUUCUAUGUACGUUUGACAAUUUGCAUAAUCAAAAUCUAAAAGAAAUUGGGAAUCAGAACAAGGGGAAAUACUAUUUAUAAGGUCCUGCAGGUACUGCAUUAGAGUAAAGAAAGUAAAGAAAUUAGCAUGGACACAGGACAUGAUGUAUAUAUUUAUUCACUGAGGAGUUAAGGUUUAUAUGUAUAAUUUGAUAGAACUAUAAGUUCAAAACCUUAUCCAAUAAUUUAUUUUAAUAAUUAUAUGUAAAGACUAAAAUGGCUCAAGUAUUUAAAAAGUUAUCACUGUCAUGGUCUAUUCAAGUAAAUUCAAAACGGUCAAGUGUGAGGAGAUAUUUUGAAGGAAAAGAAGGAUAAUAAAAUCUCCCUAUUAAUUACCAGGAUAUGAGACCAAGGCUUCAAGUUUAGUCAUUAUUUGGGCCUAUUAGUACUUUUGGGAGUGCUCACACUUUGAACUUGUCCUGUCAUCUUAAAUACUGGUCACAAGGAAGGACUACAGGAGAGUCUGGUUGAUUAGUGCAAAUCUAAUACUACCUUUUGUGAAGCAACCCAAAGGAAAUUGGUAAGUCAUUCAUCCACCUGUUUGAACAACAAACAUUGACUAAGGACAUGUUUUGCUUAAGGACUACGUAAGGACUGCAGGAGAAACAAAAUGCACUUUUUUUUUCUCCAACAUUUUAUAGUUAGUUGAGAAGAUUUGAGUUGGUACUUAACUAUAAUACAAACAGAAUGCACCAAGUUCUACCAGGAAGGUACAGAUGAAGGUCUGGUAUAGUUCAGAGUUGGCUAACGAGGUAUUUUUUCCUGGAAGAAUGCCAGGAUGGAUUGAUGAUGGAAUAAUAAAAGCACUUUCAUG